rnacentral:tRNA from 1 species
GUGACUAUAGUUCAGUCGGUUAGAGCGUCAGAUUGUGGUUCUGAAUGUCGUGGGUUCGAGUCCCACUAGUCACC